rnacentral:rRNA from 1 species
UAUUGGACAAUGGGCGAAAGCCUGAUCCAGCAAUGCCGCGUGAGUGAUGAAGGCCUUAGGGUUGUAAAGCUCUUUUACCCGGGAUGAUAAUGACAGUAUCGGGAGAAUAAGCUCCGGCUAACUCCGUGCCAGCAGCCGCGGUAAUACGGAGGGAGCUAGCGUUGUUCGGAAUUACUGGGCGUAAAGCGCACGUAGGCGGCUUUGUAAGUUAGAGGUGAAAGCCUGGAGCUCAACUCCAGAAUUGCCUUUGAUACUGCAUCGCUUGAAUCCAGGAGAGGUGAGUGGAAUUCCGAGUGUAGAGGUGAAAUUCGUAGAUAUUCGGAAGAACACCAGUGGCGAAGGCGGCUCACUGGACAGGUAUUGACGCUGAGGUGCGAAA